rnacentral:misc_RNA from 1 species
GAAAUGCGAUAAGUAGUGUGAAUUGCAGAAUUCAGUGAAUCAUCGAAUCUUUGAACGCACAUUGCGCCCCUUGGUAUUCCAUGGGGCAUGCCUGUUCGAGCGUCAUUUGUACCUUCAAGCUUUGCUUGGUGUUGGGUGUUUGUCUCGCCUCCGCGCGUAGACUCGCCUCAAAACAAUUGGCAGCCGGCGUAUUGUUUUCGGAGCGCAGUACAUCUCGCGCUUUGCACUCAUAACGACGACGUCCAAAAGUACAUUUUUACACUCUUGACCUCGGAUCGGGUAGGGAUACCCGCUGAACUUAAGC